UCGACCUUAGUUGCCAGCAUUCAGUUGGGCACUCUAAGGUCGACUGCCGGCUAAAAGUCGGAGGAAGUGGGAUGACGUCAAUCAUCAUGCCCCUUAUGACCUGGGCUACACACCGUGCUGCAAUGGGCGGUACAAAGGGUCGCGAACCCGCGAGGGGGAGCCAAUCCCAAAAAGCCGCUCUCAGUUCGGAUUGCAGGCUGCAACUCGCCUGCAUGAAGCCGGAAUCGCUAGUAAUCGCGGAUCAGCAUGCCGCGGUGAAUACGUUCCCGGGUCUU
rnacentral:rRNA from 1 species